GACGAACGCUGGCGGCGUGCCUAAUACAUGCAAGUCGAACGAGAGCGACCGGUGCUUGCACUGGUCAAUCUAGUGGCGAACGGGUGAGUAACACGUGGGUAACCUGCCCAUCAGAGGGGGAUAACAUCCGGAAACGGAUGCUAAAACCGCAUAGGUCUUCGAGCCGCAUGGCUUGAAGAGGAAAAGAGGCGCACGCUUCUGCUGAUGGAUGGACCCGCGGUGCAUUAGCUAGUUGGUGAGGUAAAGGCUCACCAAGGCCGUGAUGCAUAGCCGACCUGAGAGGGUGAUCGGCCACAUUGGGACUGAGACACGGCCCAAACUCCUACGGGAGGCAGCAGUAGGGAAUCUUCCGCAAUGGACGCAAGUCUGACGGAGCAACGCCGCGUGAGUGAAGAAGGUUUUCGGAUCGUAAAACUCUGUUGUUAGAGAAGAACAAGUGCUAGAGUAACUGUUAGCGCCUUGACGGUAUCUAACCAGAAAGCCACGGCUAACUACGUG
rnacentral:rRNA from 1 species